rnacentral:rRNA from 1 species
AGGGAAUUGUUCGCAAUGGGCGCAAGCCUGACGACGCAACGCCGCGUGGAGGAUGAAGGUCUUCGGAUUGUAAACUCCUGUCGUGUGGGACGAACACUUGUCUUUCUAAUACAAGGGCGAGCUGACGGUACCACGAAAGGAAGCCCCGGCUAACUCUGUGCCAGCAGCCGCGGUAAUACAGAGGGGGCGCGCGUUGUUCGGAAUUACUGGGCGUAAAGGGCGCGUAGGCGGCUUGUUAAGUCAGACGUGAAAUCCCAUGGCUCAACCAUGGAACUGCGUCUGAUACUGGCGAGCUUGAAUCCGGGAGAGGGAUGCGGAAUUCCAGGUGUAGCGGUGAAAUGCGUAGAUAUCUGGAGGGACACCGGUGGCGAAGGCGGCAUCCUGGACCGGCAUUGACGCUGAGGCGCGAAAGCUAGGGGAGCAAAC